UUAAAACGGCAGUUGAACGAGUGCUGAUUGGAGUGAGGUGGGCCGGUGAGAAUUGAUGGCCUUAUAGCCCAACCCAACUGUCACUGAUUUCUCCAAUUUUUGGAUCCAACCUUUCAAUGUCGAGUCACGAGUGAUUGGAUAAGUUUUAUUUGUGAUGAAUUUAUAUAAAAAAAUAUAUGUACAAAAUAUAAAAAAAAUUAAAUAUUUUAUAUUUAAACUAAAAAUAAUUGUGUCUUUAAAUAUAUUUUUUAAUCAGAAAAAUAAUAUAUUUUUGCUCCUUUUUUUUUGUACAUGCCAGAGGUUUAACGCUGCUAUAGAACUUCACCGAACCAAUUCCUCAAAAUUCAAUGUGAGUAUGAUACUGGUAGCGUAAAAAGAAAAAUAAUACUAGCAUAGCACACAUAAAAUAACGGAUAUUUCAUAUGUGCAGUCUUAUUCAAAACAACAAAUUAAUAAUGACUAGCAAUUUUUCUUCUUUUUUUUUUCCUGAGAAGAAAUGAAUACACGCCACCUCCAGUGAUG
rnacentral:lncRNA from 1 species